UUCGAUGAUCGCGAAGACGGAGGAGGUGUGUGCGCUGCUUCCUCCAGUAUUGCCUUGUGGUUUGAGGGUGGGAGCUGACGGAACCAAUCAGAGGGACGAGGAGGGUGAUCAUUUGCCCCUGUAUGCCAACGAGGUCCGUCGCAUGUUGAUUUCGAUCUGGAACGCAUUGAUCCAUCGAAAAUCCAAAUGCAUAUUGUUUUGAAUCCGAGGCCUAUAAUGACGUGCGCGUACAUAAUAAUCUCUCGGUCCUUCGCGACCCGGCGACGCAACCGGGAAUCCAAAGACGCGGAGGAGGAGGAAUAGAGAGCGCGAUGGGUCUGCAGGUAGAUUUUGAAGAAUAUGCUGCAAAAGCUAAAACGUUACCUGUAAAUACUACUAAGAAGAGCAAAUUGUUCCUGUAUGGGCUUUACUACCAAGCGACUGUCGGACCAGUGAAUACUAGAAUGUGCUCCUUAAUAUAUUCUGAUUCGUUAUUUUCAAUCUUUGCCAAACAAAAUUUUGACACUUUUAUCUUUUGUUUCUUUGCAGGUUGACCUGGUAUAUUCAAUAUGAGGGAUAGAGCCAAAUGAGAAGCUUGGAAGGCUGUUGAAGGGGAGGAAGCCAAAGGAGGAGGCUAUGAGUGACUACCUCACCAAGGUUAAACAGCUGCUCGAGGCAACUGCUACUGCUGCUUAUGCUACUUUGUCACGCCUUGCUCAAUGUAGUACCAUUGUUUCAUUCGAGUUAAGAUGCAUGCGGAUGUCAAGUUUUUAGGUCAGCAAAGCUAAGUGUGGGCAUGUUGAAUGAGCAUUACCUGCAGCCCAUAUAUUUAGUGAAGCUUUAUUGAUUCCCGGUAAGACUAUAAAUUGUCUGUUAGGUUCUGUUCAUUUUUCUCUUCAGCACUACAUGCUAGAGAUCUUUUAUCUUUGUUCAGUUUCUUCCCCUUAAAACCUAGGCGAUCUGUGAUAAAAUUUUAUUGGAAAUUUAAUAGUGAUGAGUGUAUAUUACCUUGAAAUGAAAAGGAGGCUUUUUAUAGUUGUCUUCCUAUAGUUUGAUUAUUUAGUCUAACAAUCGUGGUAGAAAAAUCCUGUAUAUUUUAUCCGAUCUUUUGCUAUGACUUUUGGGCUUCUUUCUACAUCCAAAUUUGUAUAGAAUGUGUUUUGUGAAAGGCAUGGAUAGUUGUAAUGCAGACAUUGAUCGAGUGUUUUAUCUUUCGGUAUGCCAUCUGACAUUUAUUUGCUUAUGGUCUCUUAAAAAUCUUUGUCAUGCAUAUAUAUUAUUAAAAAAAUGAGAAAAAAAAUAAUUUUUAAAGGUUAAAAUCAAAUGCCUUAUCAUAUUCAAAUAUUUUUUUUAGUUUUAAAAAAAUAUUUUUUACGAAGUUAAAUUAAUAAGAUUUGUGAGCCCCUUUUUCCAUAAAGAUGUUUAUUUUAUUGUAAGAUUUCCCUAGAAUAAUCCUCAAUGUUAUAUAUUUUUGCAUUGAGCAUCUCAUUUUUUUUUUUUUUGCAGUUCAGUUUAUUUUUCAUAAAUGAUAAAACUAUCAUUAAAUGAUUAAUUGAUGGAAAUUAAAUUGUUUUUUAUUUGGUUUUUAUUUAGUUGAAACCCUUAAAUUGUUCAUUAUUUUAAUUUUAUACAUUACAAAAAGAUUAGCAUUAUUAAUAUAUAAUUAAAAUUAUACAUUUUCAAAAUAACUAGUUAAAAAUUGAUUUAAACAUUAUAAAAUAAUAAACUAAGAUCCAUUUAUAUGAUUAUAUUUUUAUUUUUAAAUAAUAUCUUUUAUUUAAUAUGUCAAAGUUUGAUGUGUCUUUUUUUAAUGUCGUCAUCCGAUGCUCGACCAUUGAGAUGGCAAUCGAAGCGAUCUCCAAUCUUCACUCACACAAAGUUUCACGAACCCUAACGUUAAGUAUCUCCCUAGAUUGUUUCUUAUUGUAACACUUUGUGGAUUUUAUUUUCCUAUGUUCUAGUUUGUUGGUGAUGGUGUGUUCUUUGCGGAGCUUAGUGACGUCCUCACAAGAACCACUGAGCUGUGGACGGGUACUCCAGUGUUGAGGUCAGCAUCGGUGAUCAUUAUUAGAGCCGCCAGGACCCUGAACGUACUUGAUAUCGUUCUCCAAUCUAUGUUAAGCCUUGGUGGUACACCCGAUUUGGACUUCGUAUCAUAAUUGUGUAUGGUGAGAAGGGGAGAAGGAUAUUGGAGUUGACUUCUGUGGUCCAGUAAAGAUUCAACUUUUUGGAAAAUGGUGUGGAGCUCUACACCGAAGGUCAACAACAGAGGGCUUUGUGCAAUUGCUUGGGCUAUCUUUCUGGUACAAGCUUCUCGGAGGAGUGUCAUUCCUUCUUAACAUGGAGGAGAAGGGAGCAUAGGAGAGGAGAGCAAAGUGAGAGUGAAGCGCUUAUAUGUUGGUAAUGAUAGAUACGGCUGUUGGAUCGUUUCUUGAACAGAAUCCAAAUCUAAAUCCUGUGUUUCCUAAAGCCCCAAGAUUAAUUAAUUAAUUAAUUAAUUAGGUUUAUAUGUUUAAUUUGAUAUAUAUAUUUAUUUUGAAAUCAAGUUUCCCUAUUUCUCUCCUGUCUUAUUUUUCUCUAUCCUUCCAUCCAUAGUGUCUCCGAGAUUCUCUAUUCCUAACUCUCUAUUGAACUCAAGUUUGAAUUCGUGGCAUACUCUCUGAAUGAGGUGGAUUAUUUUGUGUGUAACAUGCAUAGAGACUCCAGUAAAUGCCAGUUCUUAGAUCAUGGCAUGAUUCUGUUCAACUCAAGCUUGAAAUGACAUGCAUAAUUGAUCUUGGAAGAACAGCAAACAAAGAUAAUUUCUGAUGGUAACUGGGAUAAGUAGUUUAUGGUAGAAAAUUUUUCAAUGAAACUAUUCUGAUGACGGCAGCAAAAUGAUUGUUACAGUCAAAAUUUUGAUGAAGUCAUUAAGUCAUUGCAAUUGGAUUCUUGGUUUUUUCUUCAUUUAUAACGGUUGCCAAUGCCUGUGUGUUUUUGCUGCAACUUCAAGCAUUAUGAUUUUGUUGCUGCUGCAUGGUUGACUGCAGUAGGAAUUUGUCUCAUACACAUGUUGAAAGCAUCAAGAACAAUUUUAGUCAAACUGUGUUCUUAACUUUUUUUAUUGUUUGAAUCCAAACUCUCCUUUUCAAGUAUCUUGCCUUCUUGAUCACCUCUCUGGAUGCUGAUGAGCUUAAACUCUGCAAUAAGAAUAAUUUGGCUUGGCUAAGUUUAAAUGCUUGAGGAGAGGGAAAAACUCAAAAUAUCUUUCAUUUUCUUCUAUUUUGCUUUAUUUCUACAUCUCUAGUGCCACAUGAUAAAGGAGAUGACUUUUUGUUCUUCCUAUUUGAUACUUUUGUCCUUAAUUCUUUCUACAUCUCUAGUGCGGCAUGAUUGUUUUAAUAGAUCUUGGUUUCCGUGUGAUGCUCAUAUAGAUAUUUGCCUAUUGACAACUUCAACUAGAAAUGCUUAUCUGGUAGGCUGUACCUAAAUGCUUCGAAUUUUUUAUUGUACUAACCUUGUUUGUGCUGAAAUUUAGAUGGAUGAAUUUAUUGACUUUCUAAACAGUAAUAAAAACACAGAUAUACCUGGAGAUAUAUAUAUAUUCAAGUGCUUAAUGAUCCAUUUUAAUUGAUCUUUUGCUUUUAAACAUGUCAGGGUGUCCUCGAUAUCGAAGUAAAGAUCAUGCUGGACUAGGAUCCUAAAAGAAAGCAGGGCACCAUGACUCCUUUGCCAGAUCAUGUUACAAUUCAUGCCCCAAAGGAGGAAGAGGAGUUACACUCCAGAAGAAUUUGAAUGCUACAACCUUUGCAAAAGGAAAUAUGAUUACAUUUCUUCUUCAUAAGCUUUCGGUAUGUAACAAGUCAAAAUUCUUUUGAUUUAUGCGCUUUAACUAGUCGUAGAUUAACAUGAAGAAAGAUUGGGAGUCCUUAGGCCCAUAUCUUAGUUUGUUCCAAUCUUCUCAGGAGUGUUAUUUGUUCUUAUCAUUUGUUUGAAAAACCGACGUGGUUACUCCCACAAAUUUUUACUGUUUUGUAGACUUGAUAUUAGUUAUUUGAAUUCGUAUGUAACUUCCAAAGCUGGAAUAGUAGA